UUCAAAUUACAUGUUGAAUUCCAUCAUAAUCCUAGAAAAAGUAAAUUAGCUCAUAAUAUUAACUAAAGAUAUCUUCCAAAGAAAUUAAGUAUUAAUCCAAGUCAAAGAAAAUAAAAAAAAAACAAAAGUAGAGAGAGAAACUAAUAUGUUGAAGCAUUUUUAUUUCAAUUCUCUUUAGAAUUCUCUUACUUUCUUGCCUUUUUCUUUUUACUCUUUUUCUCUAGAAUUGUUGCUUUCUAUCCCCUCUUGAAAACCUCUUAAAAAAGACCUCUUAAAUACUCUCCAAAAGCCCUAGUUUUAAAAAUCCCAUAAUAUGUAGAUUUUGACAACUAGUCUGGUGCCACAACACCAUGCUUUUGGGUUUAAGUAUGAUGCUUCAUUCUUUAACAAACGCCGUAACCUCCAUUCACCAACACCAUGGUGCUGCAUUCUUGGGUCAUACUAUGGGGCGCUGCUACAUCUUUUUGCCAUAGCCUUGAGCAAUUCAAGGCUGCGGGCUUCACUUUCAUAUGUUGCCUUAUGCAGAAUUGCAAUAGUCUAGCCUUUUCCAACGUAAUUUUCACCUCUAUUUAAUCCGAACUAAGUGAACUGGUAAAUAUAAAAGUUGUAAUACUCUCUCUCAGCUUUCCAAUGGCUCAAGCAUCACAUCAAUUAGACUUUUGUAGCUCAAGGUAUGCAUGAAAUACUGCAGUUUGUAUGAACAAAGUCAUCACCAUACUUGCACAGAUUUUCAUCAACUAAGGUCUUUUCAUCAAAUUUUCUACAAAAACAAUAAAAGAAAACAGAAAUAACUAAAAUUAAAGUAAUUUGAAGCAAAAUAAAUAAAAUUAAACUAAACUAAUCAAUAUUUGUUGAACUAAAUUAAGAAAAAUAACUAAAAUACUUAAAUUAUGAACAUAAAAUGUCAAAAAUUUAGCUACUUAAGCCCCCAAAAUGUGACAAAAUAACUUUAUAUAAUAAAGUUAUCACUCCAUAACAAAAAAAAGGCCUGACCAUUAUUAGGUGUCACCUUAUUAAAAUUCCAUUCAAUGCACCUCAAAUUCCAUACCUUCCAAAAUUCAUAGCAAGUAAAGAACAGAUGAUUCACCGUCUAUCUACCUUGCUUACAUAGUAAACAUAUUGUUUAUUCCUCUCCAAUUAAACCUCUUCAAGCAAGUUCAUCCUUCACUGUGAUCCACCUCCACAUUAAUCACAAACAAAAAUUUCUACACUAUAUGGAGCAUAUCCCAACCAAAUUUUUACCAAUCUAAAGUACAUUAGUGUAUUUUUUUCUAUUGCUUUCUUCAUUGGAAUGAUGUUGAUAAAGGAAAGGCAUACAUUGAUUAACAUGAAACGAUGAAAGUAUUAUACAUUGUCGGUGGAAUUUUUAAUAAAUAAUUAUUGAUAAAAAAUUGUAACACCAAAAUUCUUUAUAUAUAUAUGUAUGCGUGUAUUUCUUUUUCUUUGACUUAUAAUUGGCAUUUAACUUAUUGAUCCAUUUUGUAUCCAUUCUAUGAAAAUUAUAUCUUUAUAUGCUAUUUCUAAUCAUCCAUAAUAUAAACCACCUAUGUUGAAAUAUAAUAUGAACUUAAUAAAAAGAAAAAUGAAUAAAAAAAUACAAUUUGUGAAACCAAUUGACACCUUAUUUUUCCAAGUAAACUGCUCAUGCAAGUUAAAAUAUUAUUUAGGCAUAAUACUUAAAAAGUCUCUAAACUAUUUAUGAAAAUUUAAAUAAAUUUUUAUUUUUUUAUUGCGUUCAAUCAAACCUUAAACUUUAUUUUAAAUCAAAUAGGCCUUUAUGACUAACUAUUAAUAGUCAAAACAUCAACUAUCAUUUUAUAUCACCUGAUAUGUUAACAUGUCAUAAUGGAUAAUGACAUAUAGUGGCGAACGAAGGGGAUCUAAUAGGGCCUUGCCUCCUCAACCAAAGUUUUAAAUUUUUAUAACAUAUCCUUUUCUUAAGAAUUUUAUAAUUUUGUGCCUACAAAUAUUGAACUUUUAGAAUUACUGUUUUAUAAAUAUUAUCUUUGCCCCUAAACGCGAAAUUCUGGUUCCACCACUAAUGAUGUAGCAAGCUAACAUGGUAUGAUAACAUGGUCACAUAGCAUUUCAUCCUCCAUGUCAAUGUCAUAUGCCAUAUUCAUCCUUCAUGUCAAUGCCACGUGGCAUAAAAAAUGACAAAUGACAAUUAGUCAAUCGUUAGCCAUAAGGGCAUACUUGAUGGAAAAUAAAAAUGUAAGGGCUUGAUUGAACAUAAUAGAAUUUUAAGGAUUUAUUUAAUUUUUUUUGAAUAAUUUAGGAGUUUUCUAAAACAAUAUAGCUAUUAUUUAUAAUCAAGGAAAACCAUUCUAUAUUUUCAACUAUCAUACAUCCUUAGUUUGAUGUAGAAGUUAUUGAAAUUCAUCAACUAUUUAGAUUUCAUAAUUAUUUAACCUUUUAAUGAUUUAAAGGAAUAAAAUUUAUAGUUUUUAAUAUAGUUAAAUUUAAAUUUUAUUAAGACAAAUUUCCUUUAAUAAAGAGUUUAGUUUAAUAAGGAAAUAGAUAACAAUUGCCAAUAUUUAAUUUAAAAAAGAAAUCAUUUAAUUAAAAAAAUUAUUAAUUUAAUAAAUUGAUAGGGAUACACACAUAAUAAUAAUAAUAAGAAUAAUAAUAAUAAUAAUAAUGAUAAUAAGUUUGGCUUUUUUUUAUGGUAAGAAGUUUCAAAAUAUCUCAAAACCUCUAUAAAUUAAUACUCGAUAAAUUAAUAAUCUCGAUUAAAUAAUAUUUUUGACCGGUCUUGACUUAGGACCAACUUGGUAAAUUAAUAAUUCAUUAAACUUAUAAGAUAAUACAUUUAAAAAAAAACACACAGAUGGUGCCCACUUGAUAUAUAAACUAAUAAUCUUCUUAUACAUCAAAAUUAUAUAUAUGCAUGAUUCAAUUAAAAAGUAUUUGUGAAAUAUGACUCCAACGCUACUUGAUUUUUCUUUAAAUUGAUGUGUCAUUACACCUCAUCUCUAACUUUUCUUAGUGGAUUAAGAAACUCUGGUGUAGUGUUUGCUAGGAUUCGACCUCAUGCUCAAACAUGAAAUUAAUCAUGAAAUUAAAAACAUAAUGCAACAGAAAAAUAAAACAUGCAUUUAAUCAAAGAAACAGCUGAAUUCCACAAGAUCAAUGUUUGUGUUUUUCAUGUAAUUUUCAAUUUAAUUAUGAAUAUUUAUAAGUUUAAGUAUUACAUACCUUGCUCUAGAUAUCGCAAUCAAGACCAAUUAAAUCCAAAAUGACUUGUAAUGAAGCAAGAAGCUCGAAAAUAAAAUAAGUCAAUUUGAAAUCCUGUAGUUGAAAUUUUCGCGCCUUCACUCUUAAGAUUUGUCAAAUCUUCAGUCACUAAAAUGUUUAGCCUCAAGCAAUAAUCCACACAAUGACCGAAUAAGACUUUCUCAAAGGUAAGAUUUUUUUUAUGCUAGCAAGUUUUGUUUCCAAAAUAAAAUAGACCAAAAGUUCUUGCCGAAUCUCAUUUCUAUUAGACAAAGAAAAUUAUUAUUUUUUCUUAUUUUCAAGAAAUAGCAAAGUGGCUGAAGGUUUUUUUAUCAUAAUUUUAGUUCACUAACGUAAUAUAUUUAUAUAGCCAAACUAAGUUGUAACCCUAGAUACAAUAUUUGUACUUUUAUUCAAUUAAGUCUUUUUUAACUUAAUUAAUUUUCUUUAUUUUGGUCUGUUUCAAUUAAAUCCAGCUUAAUUGAUUAUCCUUAUUUAAUCUCAAUCAUGUCACUUAGUGUGUGUGACCCAUUAGGCUUCUAACAUGUUGGUAAUAAAUAUAAAUCAUAACCAAAUAUCAAUUAAAUAAUUUAUUUAUAUUUAUAGAUCAUGAGCAACAUUUAGCAAUAUAUCAUAACCACCUAAUUGUUAAAGGGUCAAUUAAAAAAUUUGUCAAAGCCCUUCAGUGAUAAGACUCUCAUGCAAUACGAUCUUUUCAUCAAUGAUAUUUAUGUUGAAGUACCUUAAAGGCUGAAAGUCAAUGAUAGGGUCAACAAGGCCUACAAGCUGCAUAAGGCCUUAUAUGGUCUUGAACAAGCACCUAAGGCUUGGUACAACAAGAUAGGUAGUUAUUUGGAGUCAAAAGGGUUAUGUAGGAAUGUAAAUGAACCUACAUUUUAUCUCUUAAAGGUCCAAGAUCAAGUAAAGUUGAUGAUUUCCUUGUAUCUAGAUGACUUGUCUGUUAAACGUCCAAAAAGAAAACUCAUAACUCAAUUCAAGGCUAUCUUGAAGAUUGACUUUGAGAUGACUGAUUUGGGAAAAAUGAGAAACUACUUGGGAUUUCAAAUUGAUAAGUAUGACCAAGGCAUCUUCCUUUAUCAGAAACACUAUAUUACUAAAGUUUCAAAAACCUUCAAUAUGGAAAAAUGCAAAUCAAUUGCAACUCCAAUGGCUAUAAAUGAUAAAUUCAAUAAUGCUAACUCUCCUAAACUCACUGAUACUUUUCUCUAUAGAAGCUUAAUUGGUCAAGGCAGCGGCUUUAGUGGAGGUAGGCCGCGGCUCACAUAAUUUGAUGAGGAAAUCCUUAUUGGAAUUGACUUUUUUUUUCACCCAACUUGGCUUAACUUCAAAGUCCUACAAAAACAACCUUUCGAAGAACUUUUAAAAAGGAACGAAACACCAUAUUGAUAGCUAAGAAUCAAGCCACAAAGUCAUUAAAGCUGAGAAGAAUUUGAAGGGAUUCAAAAAGAUUAGGAAGAUCAAGACCUUUUAUCUUUUUAUCAUUCUUUUAUUUUCUUAGUUUGAUUUUAAUGUUUAAACUUAAUUUGAUGAUGACGUGUGACUUGAUAGGGAACUAAGUUAUUUAUCUAAGAUUAUAAUUGAACUCAUUAUGUAGUCUAAUUUAUUUAUCUUUCUUUUGCUUAUGUUUGGUGGUUUUAAGUUGUUUAUUCUAUUAAGUUCUUAAUGCUUCUAAUUACCUGAUCACCAAUUAGAUUGAAUUGGAAAUCUAGGUUAAACAUUGACGAAGGACAUUUAGGUAAACCUUGAAUAGAAUAGCAUAAGAUCGAACACGCUUAGUUGAUUAGGUGGUUUGAUUUGCAUAUAGAGUAGACGUAUACCUAUAAGCCAUACAUAGCCAGGAUUAGAGCACGAACUCAAUGAAUUUUUUUUCAAUUUAAUUUGCAUAGACAUAUAGUAAGUUAAUUGAGAGAGAUAUUUUAAUAAGAAACUUGACAGAGACCUGUAAAUAAUUUAGAACUCUAAGUUAAAAACUUAAUCCAUUAAACUGAGUUAAAAGAGAGAGGCAAUAUUCAGAUGAAGUAUUGAGGGAUAUCAUAAUCUUAGGUUUGGUAGUCACUCAAGUUUAAUAAAAAAAAUUUGCUGAUAGAUUUUAGAUUAGUUUUUGUUAUUAGUUUUAAUUUUUCUUUUUAAUAAUUAGGUUGUUUGAAUAAGAUUAAGGUGUGUUAAUUUUAGUAGUUAACAUUAGGAAUUAAUUCAAUUCUCUAUGUGAACGAAUUCUACUUUCUAUUGUUUUACUUGUUAACGGUAUGUGCACUUGUGUGAAAAAUCAAUAAGAAGUUUUUUGCAUAAUAACAUUCAUACAUUAACCAUAGAAAAAUCUCGUACCCACACUAGCCCGAAAGCUGAAGUAAUCGAGCAGACUACAAACAUAAAAGGGCUCGUCUCCCCUUGUUGAAAACUAAUACAUACCAGUAUAUUUACAUACAUAAUAUAUUCGUAAACAAUUUGAAAAUUAAUGUGUCACACAUAUCACAAUGAUUAUUAAAUUAAGUCAUUUGAGCAUUUCCUUGAAAACUUCAUAAAACCCUUUAUUUCAAAUCCUUUAACAAACCAUUUAUGGAAAUAAUUUUUCAACGUGCUUAAACAACCAUUUCGAUAAAAAUCAUGCUAACUUUACAUACUAAAAUACUUGAAAAGGUGUAUCCACUCACCUAAUUGGAGAUUUAAUUUCCAAGCUCCAAUCACAACUUCGUUUCGACGUAAUCCAUGGAGUUUUCAAGCGUUCCUAUCAUACAAAAAU
rnacentral:lncRNA from 1 species